AUACGUAGGGGGCGAGCGUUGUCCGGAAUGAUUGGGCGUAAAGGGCGCGUAGGCGGCUUUGCAAGUCAGUAGUGGAAGUCCAUUUUUCAAGGAUGGAAGUGCUACAGAAACUGCGGAGCUUGAGUGCGGUAGAGGGCAGUGGAAUUCCCGGUGUAGCGGUGAAAUGCGUAGAGAUCGGGAGGAACACCAGUGGCGAAGGCGGGUAACUGGACUGCAACUGACGCUGAGGCGCGAAAGUGUGGGGAGCAAACAGGAUUAGAUACCCUGGUAGUCCACACUGUAAACGAUGAAUGCUAGGUGUAAGAGGUAUCGACCCCUUUUGUGCCGGAGUCAACACAAUAAGCAUUCCGCCUGGGGAGUACGGCCGCAAGGUUGAAACUCAAAGGAAUUGACGGGG
rnacentral:rRNA from 1 species